rnacentral:rRNA from 1 species
UACGUAGGCAGCAAGCGUUGUUCGGAAUUACUGGGCGUAAAGGAGUGUGUAGGCGGUGCUCUAAGUUCGGUGUGAAAUCUCCCGGCUCAACUGGGAGGGUGCGCCGAAAACUGGAGUGCUGGAGCGCGGGAGAGGAAAGCGGAAUUCCUGGUGUAGCGGUGAAAUGCGUAGAUAUCAGGAGGAACACCGGCGGUGUAGACGGCUUCUGGACCGUAGCUGACGCUGAGACACGAAAGCGUGGGUAGCAAACAGG